UUUGUCUCCCCAUUCCUGGGCUGCAGUGUUGCUGUGUAUACCACCUGCUGGUUAAUAAUGUGAGAGGAGUCAUUCUUUCUGAAGAGAAACUGGCUUUUUGUUAAAAUAUCCAGCACUACUAAUAGAAGUAGCUUCUCUCUGUGUUUGCAGUCUGCCUUCUGUUGUGUUUGCUACAAAAUCGUUGCUCCGACAAUUUGAGAGGCUUCCAGUGGGCAUGUUAUAAUGUUCUGCUUUCUGCAAAGCCUGUCAUCCUCCAAAGAAGAAAGUAGAGAUAACUAAUUGUUAUGUUGAACAACACAUACUAGGAGAAAGAAGAACCUAAUUUAAAUCCCUUCUAUUGGGAAAAGGACUGCUUAUUUUAUGGGAUGCCAGACAAGACGAACCUCAGUGACGUAAAGCAAAUCCAUCAAAUCAACGAUGGCAGCACUUUAGACACAACUGGAGCAGGAUGUACAACAAUGGCCAAUUAUAUAACAUUUAUGCUGA